CUGAGAGUGAGAUCUGGGAUUCUAGAAUUAGACUCUCUAAAAAUAAACCUAGGGAUUUCCUAACAACCUAUUUCUGCUUUUCUGAAAUUCCAGGACAAUCAAGAAAUGAAAAACCUGUCUUGGUGACAAUUUUGAAAAUCUCUUCACCCUCUUGGUGUCAUUAAGAAAAAUUUUGCCUAUUGAAUAUUGCCUGGAACAUGGUAUGGAAUAUUGCCCAGAACUAACUUCAGUAUGCAUUAGAGUCACCUGCCAGACUUGUUAAAACUUUGAUUGCUGCUCUGUGCUACUUUCUGGAGUUUAUAAUUCAAUAGGAAUCAGGUGGGGCUCAAGAAUUUGCAUUUCUAAUAAUUCACAGAGGAUGCUGGUAUGCCUGGUUCACAGAUCACCGCUUUAGAACCACUGAUCUGGAACUAUAAGGAAAAGCUACUGAGUAUGCUGCAUCUUGGAGCACCCAUAUUGCCAUCUGCUGCCCCACGACCCCUAAGUCAUAUGUGCGACUUCUGUCGACGUCUACAUUGUUACAGGCAAAAAUCACGAGGAGCAUAUGGUUUUCAUUCUACCAAGACUUUCAUUUCAUGCUGUUACCAGAAGGGUUAGAAAUCCUGAUUGGAUGGGAAGGAGAUUAGCUUUUCCCCUAGUGGAAUAAUUUCAUUAUAACAGAGGGGUCACCUCCCUAAGCUAAAUGUGAAAAGAAUAAUAGAAAGAGUACAGAUCAUGGGAAAAAAAAUAACUAGAAAGGCUUUGUAAUAAAUUUUGAUAUGACUUCAGAGAGUACAUCUUCACUUCAUGUAUUUGAAUAAACCCUUUAAAAUUUGGAUAACUAGAUUGUUCUAUUUCAAUUCCCACUUUUCUCAUUUACAUCACUUUUAUACAUCAAGCACCUUCCACUAUCUGGCUGAUGUGUAGAAUAAGAAGCAUUUUCAGGGCGCUGACUCUUCUGGUCUAUCCAAGUUCACUGAAAGGACCUAUUUAACCUCUAAAACAUCAAACACCAUUAAUACAGUGUAACCAAAAGAGCUAAACUCUACCCUGACUAAAGAACUUUAAAAGGAAUAUCAAGUCAUCAGGUAUCUAUCUCAAUGACUUGUUUCUUAUCGACAUCAGAAACAUCCAUGUAUUUUAUAAAGAUACACAAUAAAUAAACAAAUGCAUGAGUAUAAUUUGAGCUUUUUACAUAUCUCUAUACCUUUAUUCCUGAUAUGAGGAUUUUUAACUUAAAGUUUUUCCGAUGCACUUUUCUCCGGAUGCUAUUGAAAUGAGUAGAGGUGAGUUCUGCAUUUGGCUCUAAGAUGACUUGCAAGAGUAAAGAUCCUUUGCUGUUUCAUUCGGUGAGACCUAAAGUAGUUCUGGGGUCCUUCUCAGCAUGAUCCUCAAAGGUUUUUAUAAACUCCUAUACACUAGUAUGUCUCCAGAGAAGAUAUUGCCCUAUCAGUGACAUUGACACCUAGAAUGAGGAAAAUGUGGGAUUGAGAAAAUGGGAUUGGUAUAAUGUGAUUAUUCUCAAGCCCUAUUCUGUAAUAUAAAG
rnacentral:lncRNA from 10 species